GAUCCUGGCUCAGGAUGAACGCUGGCGGCGUGCUUAACACAUGCAAGUCGAACGAAGCAUUUAAGACAGAUUUUUUCGGAAUGAAGUUUUUUAUGACUGAGUGGCGGACGGGUGAGUAACGCGUGGGUAACCUGCCUCACACAGGGGGAUAGCAGUUGGAAACGACUGGUAAUACCGCAUAAGCGCACAGCUUCGCAUGAAGCGGUGUGAAAAACUCCGGUGGUGUGAGAUGGACCCGCGUCUGAUUAGGUAGUUGGUGAGGUAACGGCCCACCAAGCCGACGAUCAGUAGCCGACCUGAGAGGGUGACCGGCCACAUUGGGACUGAGACACGGCCCAGACUCCUACGGGAGGCAGCAGUGGGGAAUAUUGCACAAUGGAGGAAACUCUGAUGCAGCGACGCCGCGUGAGUGAAGAAGUAUUUCGGUAUGUAAAGCUCUAUCAGCAGGGAAGACAGUGACGGUACCUGACUAAGAAGCUCCGGCUAAAUACGUGCCAGCAGCCGCGGUAAUACGUAUGGAGCAAGCGUUAUCCGGAUUUACUGGGUGUAAAGGGAGUGUAGGUGGUAUCACAAGUCAGAAGUGAAAGCCCGGGGCUCAACCCCGGGACUGCUUUUGAAACUGUGGAACUGGAGUGCAGGAGAGGUAAGUGGAAUUCCUAGUGUAGCGGUGAAAUGCGUAGAUAUUAGGAGGAACACCAGUGGCGAAGGCGGCUUACUGGACUGUAACUGACACUGAGGCUCGAAAGCGUGGGGAGCAAACAGGAUUAGAUACCCUGGUAGUCCACACGGUAAACGAUGAAUACUCGCUGUUUGCGAUAUACAGCAAGCGGCCAAGCGAAAGCGUUAAGUAUUCCACCUGGGGAGCACGCCGGCAACGGUGAAAC
rnacentral:rRNA from 1 species